UUGAGCUGGAUGGCGACGCCACGGCCGUGCGCCUCGGUGAUCCCGAAGCGGAUCGAGCGGAACAUCGACGCGAGAUACGUGGUGUACAUCGUGUUGUUGAAGGCCUUGUCGAGCUUCUCGU
rnacentral:misc_RNA from 1 species